AAGGUCGUUAAUAAUAUCACGUUAAGAAACGCUGAUGUAAAGACGAUUACUCCUGUUCAAUUAAUAUUAAUGCCCUCUGUUCCCAAUCAGAUCAAUCUCUAUCCCAGUUCACCACACGUGCAACUUUCAAGCUUCGAUUUCCUACACCGCCACAUUCAACUACCUUUUAUCCUUCAUCGUAUUUCCUGACUACUAUUAAUUAUUACACAUCUGAAACUUCUUACUUGUCACGUGUCUUUCUCAUUUCUAUCUUAUGCGUUUGUUCUCAGUCUUUAGAUAUAAACAUUUCUCCAGCGCCACACUUGCUUCCCGCCUGCUAUGCACAGGUUUACGAACGCUAAAGAUAAUCGCAUCGAUCACGUUCUAAGAAUCACCUGUGCGCAACAUUGCAUAUUAACGAACGUGUUCGAGUAGGAUGAUCGAUUUUCCGGUGACUGUUCCGUGGGCCAUCGUACGAUCGGUCGAUCCUUGUUGUGCAUUUCGUCAUUGGAGUGAUUACCUGAAUCGGUUACCAUUCCGGUGGCGUCUGUCGCUUGUCAUUUCGCUGUCCAAUUAUCCUGUACGAGAGGACCGAGAACCGAGUCCAACGAAUUCCUCGGAAGAAGUGGAACGGGAAGAACGAUGCCAGGACGAAAAUAGGACUCAUAGGAUAUUACGUGAAUACUUUACCAGUACCUCGAUCUGCAAAAGUUCCCUCGACGUUACAGACGCCGAGGGGUUAAUGCGAGAGAGCUGCAUACAAGUUUACUAGUGACACAAGUAGCGGUUUUCAAGCUUUCUAUAACACUUUGAGUACUCUGUCACUCAAACAGGGUAUUCAAAGAAACCAUUCAAUAUUUUUUUAUAUUAUAUACACAGGGUGUCUCAGGCAACUGAAACAGGCUGUACUUUCUAAACGAUUCGGAAAUGGUGUAAUUCGUAGGAAGGUCCCAGAAACAAGUGUACAAAGUUUCAUGAAAAUCGUGCUGUAACAGUCACCGGUGUUUCCUUGUACGUGAAAUAGUCGCAGACGCUACCUUUGAAGCUUUCAGAUACGGAACAGGUGCGCCAAAAAGCAGUCCGAUGGGAGUUCCCCCAUGGACGAGGCAGUCCUCGACGCAAAAGAUCGAGCACGCGUCUCGUGCCUAAAAGUCGUCGAACGAUUCACUUUCGUGGAAUUUGUUCGAUAAUAGAGACCUGGGAUUCGUGUGCAAUACGACGUAUCAGGCAGAGAUCUCUCAAAUUCGACAAGCUUCGAGUGUGUUUGUCUCGUGAAUCACUGAAGAUAGGAGGUAGGUACACACUCGAUCCGCGGACACUCGAAUUCGAAAAGAAAAAAUUCGGUAGACGUGAUUCAAGUCGUGGUAUGAGGAUUAUUUUGCACUGUUCGUGCGUAUACUCUAUAACUCUAUACUCUCGGAAGAUUUGGUCUUUAGAUUAUUUUUGUUUGUCUAUCACAGUAUGAUCUCCUCCUAACCAAACAUUUUCCUCCUUCGUAUCAUUAAAAACACCGGAAAUAUAUUUUCUUUGGUUCGUGAAAAGAUUGAAUAACGAGGAGUUCCUGUUCAAUGUUUGUUUCUAGUGAUUUCUAAUGAUUUCGACUGGAAGCUUGCAUAGGUCCGUUGCACUGGCUAGACUCUUCUUUUUAUUGAUGGACAAAUACUUGUGAACGACAGUGUACCUACUCCGAAUCGCAGGAUGCUAACUUUGCGAGACGGACGAGGAAUUCCCUGAAGACGGGCGGGCAGCAGGUGUACAGAAAGCGGUGCACGAGAGGAUCCGUUCCACCUGCGGUUUCCACGCUUCAAGGUCCUCUUGAGGAGCAUAAGCGGCGAUCGUGCGAUUUCGCCUGACGUCAACUUACCAGGUUAACGGUAAGGGAGACUAGGGGCAAAAGGAACGAAUUUAACCCUUUGUACUCGGAUGGCCACUUCGGAGGGGAGUAAGUCUAGCAAAUUUAGUUAGCGAUUAGAAAGGUUCCCUUUCGUUUGGAUAACGAUUAUGCAGCUUUGCUUUCAAAUGGCACAAUCAAAUCGAAAUAAGAGAAUAUAUACCGAAAAUGGGAAGUUUUAACGUGCAACUAAAAGAUGUACAUUACAUUAACGUGCCACUUACUUAUAGACCCACUGUAGGAGUUCCUGUGAAUGAAAUUGACGUCGAGUGCGGUAGGACGUAGGAGUUGAAAGAGUUAGUCUUCAGUGGCGUAAAACGGCCGUUUAGGAUCCAUACCACGGACUAGACAGACUCGAACUUUUAAUAAAGAACAUUCUUGUGAAACUGAGAAUGCCGUGAAUGUCUUCAUUUCAUUUGAUUCCGACCGGUUUCCAUACUCAUUAGGUCACCUAUAGUAGGUCAGAAUUUUUCACUCGUGCUCCCAAGAGUGUUUUCACGGAGAGCUUCGUAAAAGCGUGCUACGUAUUCGGGACGUGACGUGACGAACGACAGCGCGGUUUUAAAUCGAAAUUCUUAUAUCGGACACGAGCGGAAUACGACUCGAGGAAUCUGGUGUCCGUCGAGUUCUUCUCGACGUGGCGUUGAAAGAGAAGUCGCACGGAAUAGGACGAAAGCCGUAUCACGACCGAGAAGGAAGGGAUUCCCGUGAUAUAGUUAUUCAGGAUGCCCGAGGAUCCGAGCGCUUGCGCUUUGCAGGCGUGUGGUUACCCUGACUCUGACAAAUACAGGCCAAGCUUUGGGAAUUUUUAACGCGAGAACUAUCUAAGCGAGGAGGAUUAUGUUUGAAUGUAUGAAUGUGUAUACUUUGAAGAAUGUCAUGUAAAAUUUGUAGUGGAAAAUAUUGGAAAAUGGCGCCGUACCAAUCCGUUUAUUGUCGUAUAAUAAACCUUACCUCACAAAAGCUGGCUAAACUUUGAGAAUUUUUAACACGAGGACCAUGUGUUGGGAGAGGUUUAUUUAACACGCGCAUAUUUAAAUAAAUGCAAGCUCUUUUCGUGUAUAUUUUACCAGGAGAAAACAGACACUGGCGAAUAGUCAGAGGAAACUACGAGAUUCGGAGGAGAGAAGAAAAGAGAGACUGCCAGGCAAAAAUAGAACGAGGAAGACUUCUGGAACGAUACAAAUAGAUAAAUUCACGAGAAAUGGAAAACGAGGAAAGAGGAGCCGGAUGCACAAAGAGGGUCUAACGAAGAAAUAGAAGCAGGAUAAAGCGACCGCAGUAAAAGAAUGAAACGAAAGGACCGAGGGUAGAUAAAUGCAAAAUAAAAACCAUUAAUAUUGUACAUAGUUUACAUACGUUUUCGUUAGCGAUCUAGGUAUAGUACAGAUAUCUGUGGGUCAACGUAAGCUGCAUUGUGGCGCACAUAAGUUGGGCGAACCUGUAUAGGGGAAUAACCAACCAACCAACCAACCAACCAACCAACCAACCAACCAGUCAGGCCAGAAGACUCCAGGCCUGUGCUCGAUCGGAGUUCUGGAGGAGUCCGACUGUUGUUCGCCAGAGACGAUGGGACAUUCUACGAAAUGCCCAGGCGUUCUACUCCUCCCUGAGCGCGUCCCCUCUUCCUUUACGCUGCUCGAUUUCCCCUUGUUGCCCUAACAUCCUGAGGGCCUCAGGAGACUCCACGUGUCUAGCGAUGGCACCGAUCCGCAGAGAUUGCCACACUUUUCCUCGAAUAUGUUUAAAAACGUAAAUUUCUAUCCUAAAUUACAGUUAAUUGUAGCUUUACAUCGAGUUCGAGUCGGUAAUAUUGUAAUUUCAAUACGGUUGGCAAUACCAAUCUGCUUUUCUGUUUGGUGUGCUACAAAUGAUUAUGAAUGUUUUUUAAGUCUUUUAUAAUAUAUUUAAGAACAACACAACAAAUAAAACUAAACCAUGAGAAUUUAUUCGUGAUGUUUAUUCGAACGAACAGUUGAAUUUUAGUCUCCUUAGAUAUUUGUUUUCUUUUUUUUAUCAAACCACCAUUACCACAUCCGUUUAAUUUUGUGGAUUUAGAUUUUACAGUUAACAAUUUAAUAAUAUUCCGUCGCUGUCCCUAGGUAUUAUCUAUAAAUAAAUUUUAUAUCCAUCAAUUUAUAGAACAAAUUUACUGGAUAAAACCUACACCGAGGUCGAAAGCGUUGCAUUAUGAAUAACUGCUCAAUGGCUAGAAUCAUGAAUAGUGUUUAUUUUUGCACGAGCAUUUCACGAACCGAUGCUAGACAUUUAGUUAUAUUUCGAAGACCAACGAAUAAUUGAAACAAUUUAUUUGGUUUCUUUUUACUUGGGUGAUUACUACGAGAUGAGGUUGUCUAUUUAUGUAAACACUGCCACGCAAAACAACUGAGUGCAACUCCCGAAAGAAACUUAUGGAACGACCCAACAGAAAUGAUCUGAAUCGAAGAAUUCAACUGGAGAAAAAUCGAAGCAUUUCUAUGAAUCUCGAUAGCAAAUCGAUCCCAUCGCUAUGCGAAGCGUGCAUGAUCUUCUCGCGUCACAUGGCAGUCCCUACGUGCGGAUUAUCCGUGUAUGCGCAUAAACGCUGUAUAUGUAGCUUGUCGCACUUCUCUUCGUGUUUUACUACUACAAACGCGUGCCACUUACUGCUCCUUCUACAGGACCGUGUACGGCGACGUUCGUAUGUACAGGAAAUUGUCAAGGAGCACCAAGCUACCCUCUGAACGUCUUUAAACAAAUAAAACAACUCCAUGCCACUUUUGCUGGUCAAUUAUGAAAUUCGUGGAUUAAUUAAAUUUUGCAGACUAGAGGAAACUACACGAUCAAACAUUUAUUACGAUAUUUAUUUUUGUGAUAUCAUCAAAGCUCAAGAAUGUCAUUCGAAUUCAUUUUCUUUAACAGUUAACUCUCGAAAUAAAUUUUGUUAGUUCUUCAACGAAAGUUACGUUCAGUUUUCCUACUUACAGAUUUCUAGGCGUUAACUCUCAAGUUCUCUACAAACACCAAUCGAAGAGGUACCAAUUAAGAGCAGUAAAUAGUUGGCACUCGGACGAUCGAGUAAUCGGUAUCGCGCAAAAUUGCUAGACGCGACGAACUAAUCCUCGAGAACGACGUAACAAAAACUAAAUAACACUCAAAGGUUAAUUAUUAUCCGAGACGGUUCCGUAACUGGUUGAUUUAUGUUUUCAUGACCACCACGGCGAGGAGAUUAAGAUUAUAUCGACUCAAGCAAAAUAUUGCAAGGGACUGUUCGGCCUCCGGUGCAAUUAGCAGCUAAUAUACCAUCAUUAUCGUGACUUAUCAUUCAAGGACAAUCAGAUGAAGCUAUAAUUAAUGAUUGUGCCACGUAGAACACGUAAGCUCCCAGUUACGCGAGUUUAUCGAUCUUAUCCGAUAACCGACGCCACUCGGCUAUAUAGUUUUUUCCGUGGCCAAUCAACUGUACGGAUUGAUUUUGUAACGCAACAAGUCGCUUCAUUUUAUUCAAUGAUUCCACUCGGUUGAAGUUUACCAUUCGAUUCCGAAGCUCUCGAAUUUCAUCGCGUCUUUACUGUCACGCACCGAUGCCCAAUGAUAACGCGAAAUUCAGAGAGGGAGUAAAUUUGCAAAUUAUUUAAAAAUCCCUAAGUUUUUGAAAGACGUUUGCUCUAAGAUCGAGACAAAAAUGUGAACUUUUUAUAUCGAUUUAUCGUGGAAAAAUGAUGGAAUACCUCUUGAACACUAGCAUACGAUAUAUAUAGUAAAAUCGAUAUUCGUAUUAUUCAUACGCUAACGCUAUUAUUUCGUUCACCUCUACGUAUAAUUUUCUCUGUUUUCGUUCUAUUUUUUACUUCUAGUUUCAUUUUUUAAUCGAAAUUGGAAAUAGUAACCACAGUUCGUCCUCCUAUUUUAUUUACGUUUUCAGCUGACACUAACAAAUUCCUCCACAAAAUUCUACUUCACGAGUACGAAAUAAUUGAUUAGAUUCAUCGAAAAAUUAUAUACACCUAAGGUAUGAAUAGCUGCUUUUCAAAUCGAUACGUUCAACUUGCUGUUUAUCACAUAAUGCAUAUAGAUAACGAGAUAGGAGCUCAAGAAUAGAAUACCUACGACUAACGACAAAACAUUACAUGCCUAACCUUUUAAAUUCUUCGCUCUAUUUUGAUUCACUAAAUUUAUCAUAAUAAUAACAAAAAGAAAAUUUGCGUAGGAAAAUCAUCUGAUACGUAUCGAAGUAAACUACCGAGAACGAUAUCGAUCCAAACAUCGCCGUUACUCGUGUCGCCAUGAUAAUUAUUCGAUCCAUUAUUGAGUUUAUAUACCGCUCCUCGUUCCAAGUAAAAUCUAAUCUCGAGUUGGUGUAAAUAUUUUGGCACAGCACGCGUGGCAGUAAAUAAGUAACACGAACCGCGACAAGAGGCACAUACAUCGAUAUCCUCGAGCAACAACACCUCUCCAUCUGCUGUUCACUCUCAUGAUUAGUAUUUUCUUCCGAUCGUCCUCCCCGAGGAGCGAGCCGUUUCGUAGAGGUCAAUUCCCUGAAGGCCGUCCUUCCGGGACUGGCAGACGCGUGAGAAGAAGGUUGUAUGUAUCUGCCAGAUAACAGCGUCCCCCUGCACGAGCCUCGAGCAGGGAAGACGAAGCAUAGCCGUGGCGACACCCAGGAAGACUGCGUCUGCCCUUGGCUUUCACAGAUCCGGAAUAGAUAAGGCAUGAACUUUCUCGUCUCGUGCAACAUUAAAGCCUAUCCACACGAACCUGGCUUGUUUAGGUAAAGUUGAAGCGCGUAAAAUGCCAACAGCCAUAAUCUCCGUAAACCAGAAAAACGGUUUGUACAGGUCGGCGCGUCUGGUUCAAAUAAAAUUACAAAGUUUAUUCAUCCUAGAUCCUCUUCAGGAAUUAUUAACUCUAACGAGUGUUUUGCAAGCGUGUGAAUUAUUAUUUUGAAAGUAAGGUAAAUCACAAAUUUUAAUAUCGAAAUUAGUAAGGGCAACGAUUAACCCCGUUUCUUCCUGAUUAAUUCUUCCCUGUUGCAGUGUUUACCGCAACUGUGAUAGGUUUCAGAGAUUCACGGGAAAGUUACGCCAAAUAACAAGCUGCGAUGCUUGAACGUUGUUUCUAGUGUCUUGUUUAUGUAUUCCUGUAUGGUGUAAAUAUUUGCUUCUUCAGGUAGUUUGACUUAAUCUCCAAGUUCAUUUUCUAUGAUUUUCAGAAAUUUGUUCCACAUUCUCUAUACCUUAAGCUCUUAGUACACCAGAUAUAAAAGUCACAUGUGAAAAUGAGUUUGACAAAUUUCAUAUAAUUGAAUUUUAAGAUUCUUUGCCAGUUUGCUAUUGAGACUUGUUGGUAGAAAUAUGAUUCUGAAUACUCUGUAUGUUUUUUAUUCUAUUUUAUUCCUGUACUUUAUAUUGAUCUUUGAAGAAGAUACGCAAAAGAUGGUUUCUUUUUUUCCACAUUUAAUUGUAACUUAUAGUUGCCGAUACAUUUCUGUAUUUCUCUAAAGUAGUCAUAUACGAGUUUAAUAGCCUGACCUGAUUUUCAUGAAGAAGUAUUGCCACGUAUGCAUCCAAUUCAAGCCUCAUUAUUUAUACUUUUAAAAGAUAUUGAAUAAUAUUGGAUCUAAGAUUAAUCCUUGAGUUACUUCUAAUUGCAUAUAAACUAGGGUUGAGGAGGUAACCUGAAUAUGAUAUACAUUUGUACGAUAAUCAUAAAUAAUUGUAACAAUAUAUAAAGAUGUAUCCGGUUGGUAUAGUUUCAAAAUAAACCUUAAUGCUCCACUGUACUAACAUGUGUAUAAUGCGACCAUACUAACUUGAUUCUUGCUUUAUUUAUUUCAAAU